UCACCUUGGCCGGAAGGUCCGGGUAAUCUUGUGAAACUUUGUCGUGCUGGGGAUAGAGCAUUGCAAUUAUUGCUCUUCAACGAGGAAUGCCUAGUAAGCGCAAGUCAUCAGCUUGCGUUGAUUACGUCCCUGCCCUUUGUACACACCGCCCGUCGCUACUACCGAUUGAAUGGCUUAGUGAGGUCUUCGAAUUGGCUUUAGGAACCCGGCAACGGGAUCUUGUUGCUGAGAAGUUGAUCAAACUUGGUCAUUUAGAGGAAGUAAAAGUCGUAACAAGGUUUCCGUAGGUGAACCUGCGGAAGGAUCAUUAAUGAAACUUCAAAGUCGGCCAAAGGUUGUUGCUGGUGAUUAUUCACAUGUGCACGCCUUUGGUCGCAAAUCCACACACACCUGUGCAUCUAUGACUCGAGGUUGUAAUGACUGAGAGUAACUUUUAUACACUCUUGUAUGUAAUGGAAUGUCUUUUUGUGCUAUAAUGUACAAUAUAAACAACUUUCAACAACGGAUCUCUUGGCUCUCGCAUCGAUGAAGAACGCAGCGAAAUGCGAUAAGUAAUGUGAAUUGCAGAAUUCAGUGAAUCAUCGAAUCUUUGAACGCACCUUGCACCCUUUGGUAUUCCGAAGGGUACGCCCGUUUGAGUGUCAUUGUAAUCUCACUUCUACAACUUUAUUGUUGUUUGAAUGUGGACUUGGAUGUUGCCGUUUUAUCACGGCUCGUCUUAAAUGCCUGAGUGUACCCUGUUUUGCAGCGUAUCCAGUGUAAUAAACAUUUCACUAGAGUUGGUYGAAAGACCRCGUUGACUAUAUGGGCUCUAUGCUUCAAACYGUCUGCCAUGUGGACAAUUUCUUGACAAUUUGACCUCAAAUCGGGUGGGACUACCCGCUGAACUUAAGCAUAUCAAUAAGCGGAGGAAAAGAAACUAACAAGGAUUCCCCUAGUAACGGCGAGUGAAGAGGGAAAAGCUCAAAUUUUAAAUCUGGUGUCUUUGACUCCCGAGUUGUAAUCUAGAGAAGUGUUUUCCGUGUCGGACCGUGUACAAGUUCCCUGGAACGGGGCGUCAUAGAGGGUGAGAAUCCCGUAUAUGCCACGGACUACCGAUGCUCUGUGAUACACUCUCAACGAGUCGAGUUGUUUGGGAAUGCAGCUCAAAAUGGGUGGUAAAUUCCAUCUAAAGCUAAAUAUUGGCGAGAGACCGAUAGCGAACAAGUACCGUGAGGGAAAGAUGAAAAGCACUUUGGAAAGAGAGUGAAACAGUACGUGAAAUUGUUGAAAGGGAAGCGUUUGAAGUCAGUCGCAUCUGUUGGGGUUCAGCCUGGCUUUUGCCUGGUGUAUUUCCUUUCCGAUGGGUCAGCAUCAGUUUCGACCGAGGGAAAAAGACAUUUGGAAUGUGGCUGUCUUCGGGCAGUGUUAUAGCCUUGUGUUGUAUGUCUCGGUUGGGACUGAGGAUUGCAGCGCGCCAUAAAUGGCCGGGGGUCGCUCCUCUCGACACGCGCUUAGGAUGCUGG
rnacentral:rRNA from 1 species